GACGAACGCUGGCGGCGUGCUUAACACAUGCAAGUCGAACGGAAAGGCCCUGCUUUUGUGGGGUGCUCGAGAGGCGAACGGGUGAGUAACACGUGAGUAACCUGACCUUGACUUUGGGAUAACUUCAGGAAACUGGGGCUAAUACAGGAAAGGAGCUCCUCCUGCAUGGUGGGGGUUGGAAAGUGUCGGCGGUUGUGGAGGGACUAGAGGCUUAUCAGCUUGUUGGUGGGGGAGUGGCUUACCAAGGCGUUGACGGGUAGCCGGCCGGAGCGGGUGACCGGCCACAUUGGGACUGCGAUGCGGCCCCGCCUCCUCCGGGAGGCAGCAGUGGGGAAUAUUGCACAAUGGGCGGAGGCCUGAUGCAGCAACGCCGCGUGCGGGAUGACGGCCUUCGGGUUGUAGACCGCUUUCGCCUGUGACGAAGCGUGAGUGACGGUAAUGGGUAAAGAAGCACCGGCUAACUACGUG
rnacentral:rRNA from 1 species